rnacentral:rRNA from 1 species
UACGAAGGGGGGCUAGCGUUGCUCGGAAUCACUGGGCGUAAAGGGUGCGUAGGCGGGUCUUUUAAGUCAGGGGUGAAAUCCUGGAGCUCAACUCCAGAACUGCCUUUGAUACUGAGGAUCUUGAGUUCGGGAGAGGUGAGUGGAACUGCGAGUGUAGAGGUGAAAUUCGUAGAUAUUCGGAAGAACACCAGUAGCGAAGGCGGCACUCUGGGCCGGUACUGACGCUGAGGAGCGAAAGCGUGGGGAGCAAACAGGG